rfam:Felis catus breed Abyssinian Contig240930.1, whole genome shotgun sequence. [26-MAY-2016]
GCCUGUGUGGCUCAGUCGGUUGAGCAUCCGACUUCAGCUCAGGUCACGAUCUUGUGGUCCGUGAGUUCGAGCCCCACGUCGGGCU